UUUCACAGGCAGAGAGGGCAGUUAAUUGAAACAAUUAAUUAGCUACAUAAUUAAUUACCUGCUGCUUCUGCAUGAGGCACUUAAUUGUCUAGUUAUUUAUUUAUUUAGCUAUUUAGCUAUUGGCUUGUUGAGUUAUUUAUUUAGUUAUUCAGUAAAUUCGUUACUUAAUUACCACUGACUUUAAUAAUUUAGCUAUUCUGGAAAUUAAUUAUUUAAUUACUUAGUAUUGUAAUUAUUUAGUUUUUCAGUAAAAUCAUUAUUUUACCUGCAGCCACAGCCCAAUCUUUGUCACACCAGCAGUGCCAGGGAUCCUCCAGGAGCCACCACAGAAAUCACCAGGGUGAUAAGAGGGAAAUUCCUGCAGGGCUCUGUGGGCACCCCUGGCCUGGCCGUGAUGCAGAGGAGGAGGAGGAGGAUUGACGCUGUUGAGUCAGGGGUGGAAAGAAAGACUCCAUCUUCAGGUGGACCAGAAGGCUCAAGAAGAAUCUUUAUUGGCAAGAAGCAGUGAGUUUUAGUCUCACUCACUCAGUAGGACCUGAUUGGCCUCAAAGUAGAAACAUCUCACAUUUUUGGUGACUAUGAAUAGCACACUGUGGAGAACCAUAACUACAAACUGUGGUUACAGAAAGAGAGAUAAUAAUUGCUUGAA